rnacentral:lncRNA from 8 species
UGUUCUCCUGCAUUCUUGUUUUACUUUUGUAAGUAAAGCGGUGGUGUGUUGGGGAGAAGAACUUAAAGGAAAGAUUUGCUAGGUAGCUAGCUGGCUAAUUUUAGCUAGCUAACUUUAGCGCUCUGGCUAAUCCUCCAUGAAGAUGGUACAUUUGAAUUUUACCUGUUGUAGGUGUUGGUUGUAGCUAGCUAGCUAACAUUAUGAUAUUUUGAUUUCUGUUUAGUUAAUGGUAGUGUGUGUGUGUGUGAGAGAGAGAUGAUCGCAAUUACAGAGAGAGAGAGAGCGAGAGAGAGAGAGAGAGAGAGAGAGAGAGAGAGAGAGAGUGCAACGGGGCAGAGAUGAUGAUUAUGAUCACAAUAACUGUCAUGUCAACAUUGUCAUGCUAGCUGUGCGUGUGAGAGCGAGAUGGUACAUGAAUACACAAAACAUUGAUUGUUUGUGUAAGACAGUGAGCUCGGAUAAUUCUUGAAACGUAUACCCCCAAUGUGGAUAUGAAGAUUUUCUUGAUUCAUCAGAGAUCCUUGUAUUUUUGUGUAUUUUGUAUUCGACAAUACCACACCUUUUGCCUAUCCCUGCCCCUCAACUCGCAUUGUAAACGUUACACCUCUCAACUGCCCUUUUCAAUUCUUGAUUCUGUUUUUGCAGGAAUCGUCUAGCUUGGAUGGAGGAGGAAACAAAGGGAAGGAGUACAGUAGUUAUCCAGCCUGCUGACUAAGAAAUUUCCUGAAACAUGUCAAUGACCUGAUGCAUGGCCUGUACCGACGUGCUUGGCCACCCACUCAGUUACCAGUGACCUAUUCUGACAUAUCCCAGGGAAUGGAGAGAGCAGAACCACGACUCCUUAAAUCCAUAUUAAUUGACACUCUCACUCUGGGAUUCCCCAAGAGACAUGAUAUUCAGCUGCCCAAGAUUGUCUGA